rnacentral:lncRNA from 1 species
GCACGCUAAGUUCAUAAUAGCAUCCCUGGAGAGACAUAUAGUGCCAUAGGCUACAAAACUCAAGCACAACUGAGGUGCGAUAUAUGAUCUGAAUCUCGAGAGCCAUCCUGCUCAUAUAACAUCAUCUCUACACAGAACCACAACACAUAAGAAAUUCUCCAAACCGUCUCGCAACUCAUACGGUGCAAUAUAUCAUUACAUGAAAUAGUUGAUGACGAAAUAGUACCCCGACUACUUGUCCAAAGGAGCGCAUUGCUGAAAUGAACACAUCUGGCCUGAUAUAGAGCCCAUAUUCACAUUUAGAUCCAUCCACAGACCUCAAGCUUAUUGUGAUCACACUGAAAUAGGCUAAUAACCUUUCGAAGGUUCAUAAUAACUCCCUUUUUCUCAUAACACACGAGAACUACCAUCAUAACCAGGGCAAUCCUCCACGGUCCACAACCCAAUAACUCGAGUGCCCUCCAAGCAUAAAUUCUCAAAUUAAUGAUAUCACCACCGUCUUCAUACUUGGUUUAAAUCUUCAAUCAAUCAAGUGACUACAUGCCACACUUAUACAAUCUUCCUAUGGUGAACGCUCGCACGACCUUCCGUGACAGACAACAAGUAUGUGUAUCCAUACCACCAGCUGCACUAACGCUGAUAAAUUGUUCAAGAAUCCAUAAUCAGGAUGGAAGGCCUUUUUCACAAAACACCGAUCUCAGGUGACACUAAAGACGAUACACACUUACUUUAAACAUUGAAUGUCCUUUACUGCUCAUCUGAGCUCGUGACAUCCUUAUCAACACUGAACUGCAACCUUGAUCCUCACUUCAAAUUACAUACCACUCAUUGUACCCAACAUGCCAAUAUAUGAUACAACACGAUUUUCAUCAAAACUCCGUAACCACUAACAGAUUAACACUUCAUCAUAUAAAACUUUUCACUUAACUCACUUCAGGAGAACCAUAGCAACACACAGGUGAAUUCUCACAACCGUAGAAUAUGCAAAUCUCUAAGUAGUGGUCUAAGCCACCAUAGCCCUUCCGGGAUCAGCCUACACAUAACAGGCCAUAAUAGUGGAAUACUUCUGAAUAACGGCGGUUGACAAGCCUCGCACGUGUCAUCACAAAUCACUUGCAUAACUUGAUCACGUUGAAGGAACUGAUCACUACCAUCAAUAUGCCAAUUCAACUAUGGCUAACCAAUCUAUCUUCUUCCAAAUUAAUUCUUGAUUUCCUUAGAAAUAAUAAUAGCUCCAUUCAACACAUAACACACUCCAUCCGCACUCAUCUCGAGUGACCUUGAAUCACGAGACCAUGCUAUCUCAAAUCCACGAACUAUUUCAUACCUCCCAAAUCUUACACUGCAUGUCAAAACAUCAUAGAACAUUCCGUGCCUCUUCUCAUAAGCUGCUACAAAGCUUGAUUCUUAACCGUACCUAUAGGCUCGCAAUCAUUAGGCACCACACAUUGCCCCUUUAAAUCCACUAGGACCGUUGUUGAGAGCCACCCGCUCUGACUUGGCCCCGAAUAUAAUCAACUCCAUGAAUCUUCUAGCACAUGAAUACCCUCUUGACGAAGCACCCAGCAGAAUCACUUCCCUUGAAACCCGCAUCUAUACAAGGCAUAAAUCCUGAAUCCUUCCCCAAAUUUGAACAUGAGCAAAUAAGGCCAACCAUAGCAUACCUUUAACAAUUCCUUUGCUCAAAUUACCACUUAGCUUGAAGCCACUAUUACACAACUCUGAAAUUCAUCAGGAUUCUUUAUCUUUUAUUGACAUAACCUUGCAAAAUCAACCGCCAUAAUUCUCGAAAUCUUUCUGUAAAACCCCUUUUUAUACUCUGAAUCAUCAACCACAUUCGCAUGACCGAUCUCUUUGUUUUAUAACCAAUAGAAUUCUUUGCAGAAGCUUCGCCAACUAUGCAACCGUCGAUCUUCUCUCUGGUGAUAACCCGCAUGUGGAAUUUACGUGCUGACAUCUUCCAACGCUACUGCACGGGGUAUAAUCACUACGACAUCAAUAACCCAUCCUGAGUCCGAGCUCACUCUCUAACUGCACAAGUCCAUUCACCCCUCAUGGACAUCAAUUAAAUGUGACGCAACAUCCUUCCAAUUCAAAGGUACAUUGUAUCCUUCUUCAUUUCAAGUAGCUCCUUUCCGUUAUAUCAAAUCUCCUGCCGCAUAAUAGCCUAUACUUCAAAUUAGAUCUGUAGACCCCAAUCAUCAAUCACUAAAAUUCCCAAGUUGUUCCAAACUCUCUUUAUGGUGUGUAGUCAUCCUAAUACAAAGCCCAUAUGCAACUCCUCCACUCUCCCACUUUGGCGGAACUCACCCCUCUAAUCGACCACUCGACCUUUGCUUCUUAUACCUAGCCUUCUAGAAAUUUUAACCACCGCUUGACAUUCCCCACACGUCCUUCCUCAUCCUUUGCUGGCCAGUUGUUGCCUUAACAAAAUAUACCUUCGUAGCACUUGAACCCACAAAUCGCUACUAAAUUUAAACCUUUCUGUAGAUCAUCUUUCUCGAGCCGUCGACAUUAGAAACACUGAUUCAAUCCUAAACCACCACACCCCGCGAUAUCCAACCAUAGUUUCUCCAAUAUUAUUUCACAAUAUCCUACCCCAAGGGCGAAUUGCAGAAAAUCAUAACACCGGUGAACUUAACACAUACAAUCAAGGACGACGACACUACAUCGCAGAUAAAAAUUCCACCACGCUCAAAAUUACCAAGUCUUAUUACUCUAUCACCCCAAAUCUGGACAUUCAUAUGCCAAUUGCUUUUCCUUCGCUGGAAGUGAAAUAUCAUAUCUCUGAAUCGUGCACUGAGUAGAUUUCCUUUCAACUCAUUCACCGCCCCAACACAUAGGCAUGUCUCCUACUGUCAAGUCAAUACUAUGCGAUAACCAAUCGCGAGCAUCAUAGCAACCUGUGCAUAGCCUCCAAGCUCUUAGAAGCACAACUAUCGAGCCGAAACGAUAGAAAAAUCCUUCCACAAGGUGACAACAAUAGCUCACUCAACUAUACCGGGAGAAACAUCCCGUACCACAUCUGUAGUGCCAUUACAAUUCUUCAAUUCUCGAUUUAGAACCAUCGCUUGAGGUCGCAUAAGAUUUAAUGGGAAGGAAAUGAAGGCAUAAGCCUCAAAGGAAUCAAACUGCACGAUGAGGAAUCAAGAAGGGAAGUGCUCCAAACAGUCUUGUAGCCUCUCAAAGAUAAGUACAGACGACUCCGUACCGAUACACAAGACUCUACUAGACUCGCUCAUGACUCGUGAGACCUAAGGGAACCUAGUGCUCUGAUACCAUGUUGUCACGACCCAAAAUCCACUAAGGGGCGUGCUGGCGCCGGACACCAUUGUCAGGCAAGCCAACAACAAAUAACUAGUAACUUCUCAUUUUAAAUAUUUUUGAAAUCAGUUCUUUUAUACGUUUAAACAAUACAUAAUAAGUUCUACUGAAUAAAUAAAGAAACAUUUAACAAUUUUGAAUUUUUGAAUAAACUCAUAAACAUCCCAGAACCCGGUGUCACAAGUGCAUGAGCAUUUACUAGGAAAUAAAAAAAAAACAGUAAUUGUCCGGUAUAUAAAUUGGACAGAAAUGAAAAUAUAGUACAAUACUCUAAAGGAGACUCUGCUUGCUGCGGGUCAUCUCGAUAAGUGUAGCUCACCUAAGUCUCAGUAUCAACCAUGUCGCUAUGCCACUAAGCCACUAGUCACUCAUAAACCUGUGCAACAAAAAUGCACAACAAGUGUAGUAUGAGUACGAAAACAACGUGUACACAGUAUGUAUCCCGUCUAAUCUCGAAGAAGUAGAGACGAGAGGUCAACUUCGAAUCUUACUAAUUGUCCAAUAAUGUUAUAUCAAUAAUAUAUUAAAUCGUAGAUUUUUAUAAACAUGAUUGUAAUUCAAUAGAAUGAAGAAAGUAAAUAAUUCUUUCUUUUAUAGGAAAUUUCCAAAUUCCUUUUUGUCAUUUAUACAUUUAUUCUCAAGUCGGGAAAGAACAACAUCACUUCAAUAAAUUCUAAGGCAAGCAAUACAAGCAUGCGCAAAUCAUUCCGAGGACGUACAACCCGAUCCGGCAAUAUUUAAACUGUGCACUGCCAGAGGGUCGAAUGGCGUGAACCAUAGAUGCAUCUAUUUAAUCUACCGAGGCGUUCGGCCUGUUCCACAAUAGAUAAACACACUCAAACAAUCAAAUCAAUAAUUCAUCAAGGAGCAAAUAUUCAGGAAAAGACAAAUUUCUCUUUUAAAAUUCAAGAAAUGAUAUCUAGCCUUUUUUCGAAAUUCAUUUACACGUUCGAUAUGUUUUAAGCAUUUUAAGUUUGUAAACAAGGUUGCAAGUAUUACAAGAAAGCAUGCUUUUGGGCCCUAAACUACUCGGCUAAAGCAUAAUAGUCACCUCGUGCAUACGUAACGCUCGCAAAUAGGAGCACAUAACCAAUUAACUCACCUAUGGGGACAACUCCCUCUUACAAGGUUAGAAAGGAGACUCACCUCGCUCCGAAAUUUCCAUAACCUGCUUCCAAGCCCUUCCAACAACUCCAAUUGAUGCACAAAGCCCCAAAACUAUUCAAACAAUAGUCAAACCAAUAAAAAUUCACCCUAAUACUUGUAACAAUUGAAAUUAUAUAAGUUCCCAACUCCACUCGAAAAGUUGACCAAAAUGCCCUUGGGCCCACGUGCCUGAAUUCCGAAAUUUCUUGAAGAUUAAUUCUACCCAUAGCUUUACUAACUCAAAUAUACAAUUUUCUCUAAUUUUCAUGCUCAAAUUCAAGGUAAAAGUCCAAAAUUCCAAAUUCUAGGUCUUCCCCAAAAAUUCCAAAUUUAUACUAAUUUUCCAUGUCUAAAUGCAUGUAAGAUCACAUAUUUAACUCAAAAUAGGAAGAAAUCACUUACCUAGUGUUUCUUGGUGAAAAUCCCUCCUUGAGCUCUUCAAAAUCGUCCAACCCAAAAGAAAGAAAUGAAAGAAAUGGGCCAAAACUCGUGUUUAAAACAAUCUGCCCAGGCUUCAUCGAUUUGUACCUUGCGCAGUGCAGGUUGUACAUCCUAUUAUAAUUUUCCCCUGUUGUAUACCUUCUGUUAAAAUUCCCAUAACUCCUUGUGGAAAUAUCCAAAUGAUAAACGGUUUGAAGAUUUAGAAAAUAGACUCGAAUAUCUUUCAUUUGGUAGGUUGCACACCAUAUAACUCUUUAUAUAUUCCGAGAUAUGAGCUUCUAAAAUCGACUCCAUACAUAAGAAAAUUCUGUCAAAAAUGCUCCACCAGUCAGUCUAGCCUUGGCUUUCAGCCCGCUAAACAAGCAGUUAACACAAGUAGUAGAGAGAGAGAAGAAAGAAUUUUAUGUGUGUGUGUGUGCGUGUUUUGAACUAAUUGUUCGUGGCUUGAGACUGUAGAAGAGAGUCAUUUAUAUAGUAGUUGAGAGCAGAGUAAAAUAAGGUAAAUAAUCAAUCAUCCAGUAAUUAGGGAAAAUUACAAAAUCCAUCAUGCACAAAAUCCGCAAGGUUCUCUUCUAGUAAAGAGGCGACCAAUUAAUGAUAAAGUGCAGGCCAUAUAAUUAAGGAAAUAAAAUUAAAUACUUAAGUACGGGGUGGGUAAUUAAGGGUAAAUGAACAAAAGUUCAAUUAAGGGAACAAUCAAUAAGAAUCAGCAAGUACCAUAGUUAAUCGUAAAUAAGGCAAGAAAUAAUCAAAGGUCGUAGAAAUAAGAAAAUAGCCGGAAAUUAGUACACAUGUAUUACCAUAGCAAAUCAGUGAAUAAGGAUUCAAAAUAAUACUAAUUUAGGGAAAAUGAUAUAGGUUUUCAAUGAAUAAGCAACUAAACCAAGUGUAAACGGAAAGAAUCGAAUCUGAUACCCUAAUAGAGGCAUACUAGGGUAAAAUCACAAGAUAUUCUAAUUAAACGAAGAAGUAAUCAUGUAAAUCAAAGCCUAGAACAUUGGCCUGUAUCGAAAUAACACGGACAAGUGCAGAAUCCAAACAAAGUGUCAAAUAUUGGGGGUUUUAGCAUAGGCUAGUUAGGGUUAAGGAAGAACUCAACAAAAUCAAUCAAAAAACAUAGACACAGGGGACUAAACACUUAAAACCAGAAAGCGUUUUGAAGAAAAGGAUUUUCAGAAACCCUAGUUUAGAAAAGAGCGACUAAAUUCAAAAUAGUUAGUUAAAAUGGGAGAUAUUAAAAGGAAAACGCUUAAUGAUACUCAAAUCACCUCAGAUCUAUAAAUAUCUAAGAAGAAUUGAACAGUAGCGAAUCUAGGGUUUUUUGGAAAAUAGUAGAGAUGAAGAAAAUCGGUUAAAAACUCAUGGAUUCAAAUGAAAAACAAGAGGAAAUCCCUUCUUACAAACGAAAAUGGCCGAAGACAGGCCAAUGAAUGAGUUUCAAACUGGAACAUGUUGGAUUUCCUUGAGAUCUUUUCAAGGACUCAUGAAGUCGAAGAGCCAUGGAGUAUAGGAGACCAGAGGUGGUCGAGGAAGGCACGGGAACACCAUAUGAAGGAGGUUCUCGCCGGUAAUGGUGAUUAGGGUCAGCGUGAGUUAAGAGAGAAUUUGGGAGAGGAGGGAUUCAGAGGCGGUGCAAAUGAGAGAAUGGGGUAGGGUUUGGGGGGUCGUUUGAUUAAAAAAGGAAAGGGCUACCGUGGACCGUUGAUCUCAGAGAUCAACGGCCAUGAUUAGAAGAGGUUCUAGGUCGGGCGGGUUAGAUGGGAAAUUGGGUUGGGGUUUUAAUUCAAUUACACUAGAAUUAAAAAAUGGAAUUGGCUAUUUGUUAAAUACCCAAUUAAAAUUAGAUAAAUAAUUAAUAAAACUAGCUAAUAAUUAGAUAAAAUAAAAUUAAAGCUAAAUAGGUAAAAUUAAGGUAAUUAACUAAUAUUUAAAAUAUAGAAUGACUUAUUACUGAAUUAAAAUAGCAUAAAGUAUAUAAUUAGCCUAUAAUUGCAAAAUUGUAGUAAUUAUAGCCAAACAAUGCCAAAUUGGUUAAUUUGUAAAAUAAUUAAAUCCUAAUAGGAAAAAAUAAUAUAUUGAGCUAAGAAAUACUUUGAAAUUACUUGUAAUUCAAUUCAUGAAUAAUUAUUGGAUAUAAAGUACUUAAUAAAUUAGAAAAUAAAUUGAUAAUAAUAUGGAAAAUUAUGGAAAAAUACCAAUUAUUAUAAAAAGUGAUUUCGAAGGUAUAUAUGCAAAUUUAAAAAUAGUUUGAGGAAAAAUUGGGUAUCAACACCUCCUGGACCAUAGGUAUGAGACGAGUAGUGCACGCAUAAGGUAUGACUUAGAAUUGAUUUAAAGCGCAUUUAGGAAAACAAUUUUAACAUAGUAAUCGGGUGGCAGGAGAUGAUUGUUUGUGCCCAUUGAAUAAUAUGAGUAAUUACCUACCUCAAGGAAGUUGCAAAGUAUUAUUUAUGUUGCACGGGGUGAAACUUUAGGCUAAAAAGGUUAGGACCCCCUUGCCUCUCUUCUUAAUACAUCUACUCAUUUAAUAUAGACCGUUGUAGUUAUAUCCUUGUAAUCCUUAUUUGUGUUAUAAUAAAUUUAUUUGACCCUUACUCUCUUUAUUUAUCUUGCCUAAUUAUAAUCCACAUAGUCUUAAGUUUUGUCGGGACCUAAAGUUGUGGACCUCGAAGAGUGCUUAACACCUUCUCUUUGAGGUAAUUUGAGCCCUCACCCGAUCUUUGGUGGCGUUGACUAGUCCAAUAGAGUUAUUUGCAUAAUAGGGGCCCUAACGCACCUCAAAAAUUGUUAGGUGGUGACUCUUCUUCUUUUAACACCCUAUCCCCCAUCCAAAAGAGUUGUCACAAUGUCGAAACCCACUUUCACGAGAAAACGGGGUGCGACAGCAUGUCGACUCCGCUGGGGAUUUUACACCUAGGCUCUUAUCAUAAUGAACUUGACUUAUGUGGAUUAUUUUCUUUGUUAUAAAAUGCCCAUCCCUUCCGUUCUCCACCUUUAUUUGUUUAAAUUUGUUAACAUGCACAUCCCUUCCCCGUUCACCAUUAUUUUCUAUGAUUGCUCUUUAUUUUGUUUAAAGAAUGCUAUAUCAUGCUUUUGCCAUCCCUACUCCCUUAUUUUCUUUAUUACAUUCUCGCAUAUAUUCCACGAAUCAACAUCUUCCUUUGUCUUUCUUUUUAAUUUUUUCAUGUUGUACCUUAACACUAUAUUUACUACUCUUACAUAUUUAUCAUGUAAAUACUUGGCAAUCUGUUCUUACCUCUGCAUAAAGCAUUCUCCACAUCAUACUCCAUGGGUGACAAUUAUCAACAUAGUAGCGCUUGAUGAGUUUGGGCGCUCUUCAAAAAUUAUCCUUUUUAAAUUGGAAAGGCUUAUUUGCGGUAGACUAGCCGAUCAACGGUGCAAUCGACGGUCCCUUCCCUCUCAAGUUGUCCGCUUGAGAGUACCGGUUCAGACCAUUCUAGAGACCUUACUCCAAUAUCAAAUGUCUGUGCAUCAUGUUGAACCUAGUACGGGCUAGAACAUUGUUAAUGUGAUAGCCUACUAAGAUAAGCCUUGUCCAAAUUUCGACGGAAUUUUCACAAUCCCAAUGGACACCACCAUGUUAUGUGCAUUGCUCGGAGAAAAUAUAGCAAUAUGUUGAUCAUUAUUGUUAAAUGGUCGAAUCUGGAGGGGGAAAUGUCUAACCUUGAUUGUUUGUAGAAAAUGAAGAACGAAUUCCCCAGGUUUGGCAUGGUCCAAAAUAUCCCACCUCUACUACUUGAUUGGUGGAAAAAUCUUGCGCCUAGCGACAAGAUUCACGUGAGAAGGUUCCUUGUUAAUUUUCCUUCUUUGCUAGACAUCCGACAAAAUAGGGCAUUAAUCGAGGCUGCUACUGUGUUUUAGGAUGAGAAAAGGGUCAUCUUCCGUUUUGGUGACAUAGAAAUGACUCCUAUCCUAGAAGAAAUAGGAGGCUUCGCUAAGCGGCCAUGGGAUAGUCCAGGGUUAUUAGUGCCAGAUAAUUGCACCCAUUGCGGUUUUCUAAAAAUGCUAGGUUUCAAGAAAAAUGAUGAGUGGAUUUGUUUGAAGAAGUCAUACAUCCCAUUUGAAUUCUUUUAUGAGUGUUACGGGCACAGUAUGCCAUAUCAUCUUCAUCAUGAGUAACUCGCCAUUACUUCUUUGGGUUGGACGCACUGUCGAGUUUAUGUGUUUAUCAUCUUCUUCUUGGGGUUGUUGAUAUUCCAAAUGAAAGGGGGAAGGAUUCAUACUCGCCUAGCCAUGGUCGCCAGAACAUUGAUGGAAGGCAUCGAGGGACAAACUUAUACCAUCAUCCCCAUGAUCUUAGCUGAAAUGUACCAUGCUCUAGAUCGGUACAAACAAGGAUUCGGGCACUUCGAAGGUUGUAAUUUGUUAUUGCAAGUCUGGUUAUUGGAAAAUUUUCAGAGGGAAGAAUAUUACCAAGAGCUUCUGCAGUGGCCGUUGAACGACUACAUAGCUUACCAUCACCCAAAGAAAAUGACAUUUACCCCCAGACAGGUUUGCACAACCUUGAAAUGCUAUGAGUUGGGUGUGUUUCUUCAGCAAUCUGACACACGAUCAGGUACAUUAGAUGUUUGAAUGGUUUCCUAGCAGUGAGUUCAACAUCAGGUCAAGAGAUACUAAUUAUCUGGUACUGAUCGAGUUGAGGGGUAUCUAUCCUUAUGCUCCCAUAAAGGUAAUAAUACAAGCGGGAAGAAAAUAGGUUAUACCUCGGGUUUCCAACAUGGGCCAGUACAUAGCAAAUUUUAAAGGGACGUCAUUCCAUUCAAGUUCGAGACACAACAUAUGUGGAAUCAGAAGGUCAUUAUGGAAAAUGAUACUAUAGAGCCAGACAUGUAUCAUGCUGGUCAUGUGUACCUCUAUCUAUCACGACUGGUAGACGAUAUAGUAGGAGCCGUCAAGCCGGAAAUUAAUCUAAAAACAGGAUCAUAGAUGACGUUGUUGAAGCACAGGUCAGCAUUGGAGGUUACGCAAAAGGGUUUUCGAGUCCAAAGCUAGACAUCUGGAACAACAUAAAGUGGAUAUGGAAGCAAUCAAUGAAUGGAGGGAAAUUGACACUAAGUCCACAAAGAGAUAGGAAUAUUUGGAGCAAGGGUUGAUGGAACUUGAGGGAGAGAUGAGGAAGAGGUUUUCCGAUUGUCAGAACACGGAUGGAAAGGACGGAGGGCAUCUAUCAAAGGCUUACCUAUUGUUAGAUAUGCACGAACUGGGGAACCUGAUUGAUGGAGUCAAGAGAGCCAAGCACGGGAAAGGUCCUUCUGGGACCAAAUAGAUUAGGAAAUAAUGUUCUUUAUUGCCUUGUAGCUUAGUUUCAGAUUUCAAUUGUAAUAAGGCUAAAUGUCAUUAGUAACUUUCUUAUUAUUGUCGAUUUAGUAAGGAUUUGAUUCGUUUUUGCAUUAAUGAAUGACGCAAUUAUUGGCAUCAAUUUUCUCCAAGUCUAUGUGUCGCUUAGGCAUACCUCAGUCACAAUGAGGUCCCCCAAAUUAGGACGCGAUUUAUUAUGUGAUAUUUCAAAAUAUAUUUGAUAUUGCGAGCAUUCUUUCAAUAUCCUUACUGACUUGGUUACCUUUGUUUGUUUUUCUUUCCUUUGAUUACUCCCACUCCCUGAGGUUGGAUCGAUCAUACUGGCAUCAUCCACAUAUCACACAAGAUCCAGAGGUCCUCCACCUCCUCCUCUACCAAGUCAUCCUAAAGGCAGAAGCAUGGGGAAAGGAAAAAUUGAUGAUUUAAGUGGUAUCAGAAAAGACAACGCUACUAUGGCAGAAAAUACUGAAACUUCAGAUGGUCAAAGUACCCCAGCACAAAACGAAUUGGUCUUACACCUGGAAUAGAAAAUACUAGAGCUACAAGGAGAACUUGAGCAGGUUCGGAACUUGUCAAACCUUUCCCUCACCCUAAACUUCCCUGAUAUCAACUAAUAAAAUCGAAACUCCCAAAACUCGGCACCUCCCCAAAACAUACAGAACAAAAAUCCACCGUUGAAUCCUCCCGCACCACAUCAAUACACCACACCUCCUUAGAACCAUAACCCUCCACCGGUACCUAUUCCUCAACAACACCAUCAUCAUCUAAUAUAGAACCCACAAACCACCACACACUCAUCAUAAUGCACCACAACCUACUCCUAAUCCCCAAAUCUCAACUAAUGACUCCUCUUAUGCCCAGAUAUCGGAGUUCAUCAAAACAAUCCCAUAUAUGUGGAAACUUUACCCCACACCCCACAACAAACCCUAUAUAUAUCGGAAUCAACCGAGAAGGACCUGCUCAUCAAGAACAUGGCGAAAGAACUCAAAAAGCUCACUGGCAGAGUUUAGAGUGUUGAAUGUGGUAAGGUCAUUGAAGGUUUGAAUUAUGAAGACUUGUGGAUUCAACCAGAUGUGAAAUUGCCGAAGGGUUAUAAACCUCCCAAGUUUGAAAUGUUCGAUAGAACUGGUGAUCCAAAGGUGCAUUUAAGGACAUAUUGUGACAAACUUGUAGGAGUGGGCAAAAAUGAACCAAUCCGUAUGAAGUUGUUCAUGAGAAUCCUCACAAGAGAUGCUUUGUCUUGGUACAUCAGUAAGAACCCUAAGAAGAGGGUUAAUUGGGUGAGCAUGGCGUCAGAUUUCACGGAUAGAUUCCGCUUCAACAUAGAAAAUACACCAAACGUUUUGUACAUUUACAAUCUCAAGAAGAAAUCAACAGAAACAUUAUGCGAGUAUGCUACUAGGUGGAGAUCUGAAGCUGUAAAGGUAAGGCCAGCGCUUGAAAAGAACAAAUAAACAAGUUCUUCGUCAGAGCUUAACAUCCGCAAUACUUUGAAAGGCUGAUGGUUAUUGAAAACAAUAAAUUUUCUAACAUCAUCAAGCUAGGAGAAAGAAUAGAAGACGGAAUUAAGAGUGGAAUGGUGACGAAUUUUAAAGCACUGCAGUCGAUAAAUAAUGCCUUGCAAUCAGGAGCUAUUUCGAAGAAGAAAGAGGUAGCUUCUGUGAUGGUAGCCCAAGGCCCAAAGUCUCCUCUCACAUACCAAACACCUCCAACCACAGACCGGCCUUCACCCCCAGAUACCAAUAACCUACUACUACCUACCAUGCCGAUAACACCCAACCCACCUAUUAUCACCCACCACCACCCGCCUACCAAAAUUACCAAAAACCAAGACCAAAUUUCGACCACAGACCACCCUGAGAAUACACUCUAAUUGUUGAACCCAUAGACCAACUGUAUGAGAGACUGAAGGUUGCUGGAUAUGUCACUCUCAAUCCUGUCGUAGCUAUGGAAAAUUCUUCUUAGUAGAUUAAUCCAAAUAAGACAUAUGCCUAUCACUCAGGCAUGAAGGGUCAUACCAUUGAUAAGUGUCACACACUGAAAGAAAAAAUCCAGAUGUUAAUUGACACUAAGGUCAUUCAGGCAAAAGAGGUUGCACCCAAUGUUCGUAACAAUCCUCUCCCGGACCACAAAGGUGAGGGAGUGAACAUGAUAGAGACCGACGAGGAAUGGGAUCCAGAGGGGUCAAUUGGUCUCAUUAGAGAAGGGGAUGAUCCUAAAAUAUUUUCAAGCAUCCUCACGCACGUUGUGAUAUAAACCCAAGCACCGCUUGAAGUUGAGGUAACUGCACCAUCACUGUUUGAAAUCGAGGUAACCAAACCUUCACUGUGAUGGUAGCACCUAUGCCAUCAUACAAGUCUGAUGUUAUGCCAUGGGAUUAUGUUGCGUAAGCAAGGAGGAAAUGAAAAGUAAAAAUAGAAGAAACAGGUGUCGUACAAGGUAUGACUAGAACUGGCAAGGUUUAUAUACCUGAGAACUUAGGAGGAACGAGCAAGGAAGAGCAUCUAAGCUUUGGUUGCGUUCUGGGACAACAUGACGAGGCUGGAAGAAAGGAGCAGGCAAUAUAUUAUCUAAGUAAGAAUUUCACACCUUACGAGGCCUAAUACUUUUUGCUGAAGCACACCUGCUACGCUUUGAUAUGGAUAGCUCAAAAAUUGAGGCAUUAUUUCUGCGCCUGCACCAUAUAUCUCAUAUCAAGGAUGGACCCGCUGAAAUACAUCUUCCAGAAACUCACGCCUACAGGAAAGUUAGCAAAAUGGUAGAUACUGUUGAGUGAGUUAGACAUCAUCUAUGUAACUCAGAAGGUGGUCAAAGGGAAAGCGUUGGCAGAUCAUUUGGCAAAAAAAACUGUAGAUGGAGAAUACGACCCAUUGAAUACAUAUUUUCUAGAUGAGGAAGUAUCGUUUGUAGGAGAAGAUAUUACCAAGGCAUAUGACAGUUGGAGAAUGUUCUUCAACAGAGCUUCAAACUUCAAAGGAGUGGGUAUCAGAGUUGUCUUAGUAUCAGAAACUGGCCAACACUAUCUAGUAUCUACAAAACUCAAGUUUCCAUGUACCAACAAUAUGGCAGAAUAUGAGGCUUGCCUCUUAGGACUCAGGUUGGCCAUUGACAUGAAUGUUCAAGCGUUGCUGGUAAUUGGAGAUUCCGAUCUUUUAGUGCAUCAGGUUUUAGGAGAAUGGGCUACCAAGAACACCAAAAUAUUACCGUAUAUGUACUAUGCACAAGAUUUGAUCAAGAGGUUCAUGAAGAUAGAGUCAAAUAUGUUUCGAGGAUUCAGAAUGAGUUCGUAGAUGCAUUGGCCAUUUUAUCUUCCAUGAUAAAACACCUAGACAAGAAUUUCAUCGAUCUUAUCCCAAUUUGAAUUCAUAAACAACCGGCUUAUUGUGCUCAUGUUGAAGAAUAAAGGGACAGAAGUCUCUGGUUCCACGACAUCAAAGAAUACUUGGAAAAGGAAGAGAAUCAGGAACAUGCAACUCAUACUCAGAAGCGCACACUCCAAAGGUUAGCCAACAAUUUCUUUCAAAGCGGAGGAAUUCUGUACAGAAGGACUCCAGACCUGGAUUAUUACGAUGUGUCAACACCAAGGAAGCAUCAAGAUUGCUCGAGGAAAUACAUGCCGGAACUUGUGGACCGCACAUGAAUGGCUUUGUCUUAGCCAAAAAAAAUACUAAGAGCAUGGUAUUUCUGGAUGACUAUGGAAACAGACAACAUCAAGUAUGUUCAGAUGUGCCACCAAUGCUAGAUACAUGUUGAUAUGAUACGAGUACCACCCAAUGAACUCAAUGUAACAAGUGCACCCUGGCCUUUCUCCGCUUGGGGCAUGAAAGUCAUCGGUCCAAUCGAACCUGCUGCUUCAAAUGGUCAUAGGUUCAUUCUAGUGGCCAUAGACUAUUUCACAAAGUGGAUUGAGGUCGCAUCUUACAAAGUUGUUCUAAGAAGUUUGUCGCAGAUUUUGUUUGGGAUCGCAUUAUUUGUCGGUUCGGAGUACCAAAGUCAAUCAUCACCGACAACGCCGCCAAUCUCAACAGUAAUCUAAUGAAGGCCAUGUGUGAAAUUUUCAAGAUCAAGCCUAAUAAUUCCACAACAUACAGGCUGUAAAUGAACAGAGUUGUAGAAGCUGCCAACAAAAACAUCAAGAAGAUACUAAAGAAAAUUGUAGAUAACAACAAACAAUGGAACGAGAAGCUGCCAUUUUCUUUACUCGGGUAUUGUACCACGGUUCACACAUCAACUAGGGCAACUCCGUACCUACUAGUUUAUGGAACUUAAGUUGUUAUUCCUGUCGAAGUAAAAAUCCAUUCUCUAAGAAUCAUAUAAGAAGCUGAGCUCAGCAAUGCAGAAUGGGUUAAGAGUCGCUACGAACAACUAGAUCACAUUGACAAGAAAAGAAUGAAUGCAGUAUGCCAUGGUCAACUCUACCAGAACAGAAUGGCAAGAGCUUUCAACAAAAAGGUCAGACCAAGGCAAUUCACACUGGGGCAUCUAGUGCUAAAGCGGAUAUUCCCAUAUCAGGAUGAAGCCAAGGGGAAGUUCUUACCAAAUUGGCAAGGUCCCUACAUGGUUCAUCGAGUACUAAGAGGAGGAGCACUCAUACUCACACAAAUGGACGGAAAAAUUUGGCCAAAACAUAUCAACUCAGACGUCGUCAAGAGAUACUAUGCUUAGGAUUUUUUACAUUUCUUCACUUGAUGUAACUGAACUACACUUGACCUAUUUCCCAUUUAAUAUGGGAUACGUAGGUAGCCCUGUGGGUUCGGUCACAUCUUAAUAAAAUAUUCAUUUUUUCCCGUGAACAGAAAUUGAGGCAAGAUUGUAAGUUCAGUCAAUUUUGUCAUAUGCAAAACAACCAAAAGUAUUGUCAGAAGUAUUGCAUUUAAACUAGGGAAGACUUUUGAGUGGGGCCAUCAAAAUGCUAAGGCAAGGAGGGCGCAAUGUCUCUAAAUGUGUCAUAGUCACUAGUUCGUCUAAAUUAUUUGAUAUCACAUACUACUACAUUUCAAAUAACUAUAUUUAUCAAAUGCAUGCAUAUUUAUUGAAACUUUGUUUCUAUGACAGCUAGAUGUUGCCCAGGGUAACUCAAAUAGAUCAAGACAGGAGCAAAGACAAAGCAAGAAGACAAAAGCACGAACCUACCUUGCCACCACAAAAUUCACAAUUUUUCUUUGAAUGCAGGCACGAUCACAUCAAGUCACUACCUUCAUGACAACAAGUUACCGAACGCAAACAUUUCUAGCUAAGAAAUACUUCACUUCCUCAUUGUCACUCAUCGUUUUUUCUUGCAUUAGGCUAAGUACUGCCUUUCCCUGCACAAGACUAAGCAUUGUCUUCACUUUUGGCAUAAGGCUAAGCAUUGCCUUUUCCUAGCAUAAGAUUAAAUACUGUCUCCACUACACUACCUAAAACCUAGCACUAUCCCUAUGUUCACCUAGGGCUAAGCGUUGCCCUCAUCUUACACAAGACUAAGCCUUGUCUUGUCUCAUCUUUGCAUAUGACCAAGCAUCUUAUCUUUGCAUUUCAUAGGCUAAAACAUCGCCAUCUUCUCCAACGGCCCCAUAGUACAAAGGCAUCAUCCUCAUAGCCGGGAGACACAAUGCCAAGGCCCGAGGAUCUCUCAAUAUUGCACAUUAUUAUUCAAAGGCGUCAUCGUCCGGAGGCACCAUCCUCACGGCUCGAGGAUAUCCUUUCAUGACAUGUGAAUCCCUUAUCAUACGCUUCAUGGCCCAGGACGUCAUGAUCUAAGACAUCAUCUUCAUCGUCCAAAGACCAACCUUCAUUGUCCAAAGGAAAUUUGCAUCAUAUUUUAAAUAUUAGCAAUAACCCAUAUAUUUAUUCGCAUGCAUCGUGUUUUAAGUUUUGCAGGUAAUCCAGAAGUAAUCAUUCUACAAAUGGGAGAAAUUUGCGCUCUGCUUUCGUUCACAACGUUCACAUCCUUCGGUUGUUUCAAACGUAACUGACUACCAAUACUUGCCUACCUUUUACUCUAUGACCGCUCAGAUAUCUGCUUUAUGAUACAUCCAUAACGUUUCAAAUUCACAUUCAUGACUUCGCAUAAAUUCAUCCGACACUAUCCUACCCAAAAUAAUCCUCUCUGAAACAUGUGACCGUUCCUAUAACAACUCCAUCGGUUUCAUUCACCAUUGUCCAGAACUACACACGGCCUGAUUCCCGUAGUACCAAAGAUAUGUAGGCAACUCAGAAAAUAGGUUUCGGCCUCUAAUUUUGUUUUCAAAUCACAUCAAUCCUCACUCAAUUCAGUAAAAAUUGGUCAUCAUUUUCUUUACCCGACAACUCUUUCAUCAUUCUCGGGUAAAGAGGGUCAGUUGUUGAUACCCAAUUUUUCCCUCAUAUUUUCUCAAAUUGUAUAUAUACUUCCAAAACAUUAUUUUUACAAUACUAUUUAGUUUAGAAAAUCUAUACAAGCAUUAUCUAUAAUUUUCCAUAAUUUUUUAAUUUUUAAAAUUGAUUUUCUUGCAUUUAAAAUACUUGAAUAUUUAUUAAUUACUCCUUCAAAUUAUUUUGUGAUGACUUAAUUACCUAAAAUUAUUAUAUGCACCUAUAAUAUAUUUUUUAAAUAUUUUUAUUUUAUUUUAUAUAAUUACAUUAAUAUUUUUAAGCUAUUUGCGCAAUUUGGCUGUAAUAGCCUAUAUUCAUACAUACAUGCUCUUUAUUUAUAUUAUUUGUGUCAAAAUAGUAAUUUAUAUUUUUAUAAUCUUAAAUUAUUAUUGAUAAUAAUUUUAGUGCAUAAAUAAUAUUUUUAUUUAUUUAUUAAGCAUUUUUAUAAAUUAUUUUUUGACAAAUUGUGUGUAUUUAAAUAGCAACCCAGUUUUAACCAAUUUUUGGACCAACAAUUAGCCCAAUAACGCCAAGCCCAAACCAAAACCCUUCUACCCAACUAAGAUGGUACCCGUUUCAAACGACCCGCCCCACUUAUCCCUUAAUCUCGACCGUUGAUCUUUCAAGAUCAACGGUGUACAAUUAUCCAACACUUUUAAUUACCCUAGACCUAAAACCCUAACCCGUCGCCCCUAAAAUCUCCCAAUCUCCCCUUCUCUCUUGUGAAGAACCCUAGCCGCCUCCCCUUAAUUCCCUCUUUGAAUACAACAAAUAAUAGGAUUCGACCACUAUUUGCUUACCAUAUCUGGAUCAUUUUGGUACUGGUUACGCGGUUUUGGUAUUACUUAUGUAUUUGCCUAAUUUUGGAAAAUACCACCUCUAUAUCGGACAAGAAUCAACUCAAUCUUGAAGAUAUGGAUGAUAUCCCAUCCAUAUACACAAAGUGAAAUUGUAUUCUUUAUACCAGUUGGCCAGUUUUGAGUUUAAAACCCUAACUAGGGUUUGUAGUUUGAUACUUUUCCUUUCCUGUUACUCUACAGACUUGCAUGCAAGAUUUUACCCUUUUUCGUCCAAAUUUACUUGAUUUCUCUCCUUAUGUAUGUUUAAUCGGUUGUUUUCCUUAUUUGUUCAUUCAAUUUCAACACUAUACCCCCUAUUCUUCUUAUGGAGAGACCUUUUAACCAUCCAGAUACACUAAAAUUUUUGGCUACUAUUCUGGUAUUUUUUCAUUCUUUUGUUCUGUACUUUGGUUCUUGGCCGGCUGAAAACCAAGGCCACUAAAUUCGAUUCUUCAACCUUUCUUGGUGCGAGCACUGCCCGGGGUUCAUUUGAAGCCCUUGGAAACUCUGACGCACUACGAUUAUGGACUCUUGGCUUGUUGUUGAUGCUCAGAGUACUGUGGAAUUUGUUCUUUCUUAUUGUCUGUUUAACAGGUAAGUCUCUUGGCUUUAUGAUUUUAUUCGUUUGUGUUUAGGUCAUGCAUAUUUACACCUCUGAAAUUUCAUGACUUAAUAUGUUUCUGGGCUAUCUCUGUGUGCAACCUCGUUAGCAUUGAACUUGUUUUGUAAUUUGAACAUCCCCUAGCAGUUGAUUUUACCUAAUGCUUCCAGUUCUGAGACAUGUUUAUGCCUAAUUUGAAUAAUUUCGACUCUCUUAAGUUUGUUUAGCUAAUAGUUUGUGCCUGAAUGUUCACAUUUGCUGCUGGGCAUGUGUCGCGCCCCAUUGUUUUCGCGAAAUCGGGUUUAUGACAUUUGGAAGGACAACUCAUUUCUUUUGGGCAUUGGGUUUGCAUUUUUUGAAGAGUUUCCACCUAAUGAUUAGGGUGCAUUAGGACACUAAAAGAGUUUGAUUUGAAUAACCAGAGAUAGGGUAAGGGCUUGAAAUUAUUCUAAGGGGAAGGUGUUAGGCACCUCUCAGAAUCCACUAGUAUGGUUUCCGGCUAGACAAUUAUUGUGAAUUAAGGUGCAAUUAACAAAUAAGGCUCAAAUAAGAAGGGAUUUCAAUGCAUGAUGUUUGAAAGUAAACAAAGUUUGAAAGAACAAUUAGAAAAAGAUGAUUUUUUUAAAUAAGGAGUUAAAAUGCUGAAAGAAAUUAAUAAUAAAGGGAAAAGGGGGAGGGGUCCUAGGUUUAUUAAAAUAUGGAUCACCCUACACAAUGUCCGGUAAUCACUCCUCAAUGAGGGGCUACACGUGAUAUUAUUGCGUGGUCAUCAUAUCCAUAUAUACCCUUCCCACCCUGUUAAGGUAUUUAAAGCGCAGAUUGGUCUCGAUUACUUAUUGCAUGCUAUUACCCAUCCUACUCCUAUCAGUCCUAGAGGCACUUAGGACUACUAAUCCUAAGAAGGGAGGGAUAUAAGGCUUACUUGAAGUUUCAAAAGUAAAAAUUCUAAGGCGACAUACAAAACACAUAUUGCACAUUUUGGGGAUAGCAUAUAAACAAACAACGGCUCAGAUAUACCUUCUUAAACAAAGAAAGCAUAUAAUUAGCAUGACUUGGACAUACUUUUUAGGUCUGAUUUAAAAUACCAAAGACGAGGAAGUUUAAAUAUUGAGGAAGAUUGGUUUAUUUCAUAACUUAGAUAGAAAGUCCAAAUCAGGCCUGCCUGCUGGUUGUAAUGAUUAAGAGAGGCUGACUCAGUUUAUAGGUAUUACUUUAGGGCUUGCCUAAGUGUUCAGACAAGGAUCCUACAGGCAUGGUAUCUACUGAAUUCAGAAGGUGAUAAGAUAGUAAAACAUCAAAAUGAAUGAUUUGAAAUCCUAUAUGCAUACUUAUUCAGCGAGGGACUCGAAUUAUUAAAAGAAAUGCAGAGCGUACAAAGUUAAAUAAAUCGGUUAUAGAUUCUGCAGGUGAUAGCAUCCAAUAUUACUGAUUUCAUAUCUAACAUUGAGUGAAGCAAAUCAGAUUUAUUUAGAAACUCCUAUAGGCAUGCUUUCUAUACAUUGCUGAUUUUAAAACCUUAUAGACAUGGUGUCAAAAUGCAGAAAACCUUAUAGGUAUGGUAUCUAAAUGCAGAAAUCCUAUAGGCAUGGCAUCUAAAUACAGAAACUUGUUUUAAACCUAUAGACAUAGUAUCUAAAUGCAGAGAUUUGUUUUAAACCUAUAGACAUAGUGUCUAGAUGCAGUUUGCAUUACACAUAAUUGAAAUAGUCCUAUAAGCAUGAUUUCUAAAUAUGAUGGAAUGUGCAGAAUUAAAAUAGUACUAUAAACAUGAUUUCUACAUGUGAUUGAAUGUGCAGAAUUAAAACAGUACUAUAGGCAUAAUUUCUACCUUUGGCGUGUACAAAUACCCACCCUCUUUUACUAGCCAUCACCAAAUGUUCAUUACAAAUUAUUACAAACCAGGAAUAAAUUACAUUAAAAAUACAAAGAAAAGUACAACCAGAGGAGGCCUAAUUCCUGACUUCCUCUCUGAGUUAUGAAAUAGAACAAAAUUAUUACAAACCAGGAAUAAAUUACAUUAAGAAUACAAAGAAAAGUACAACCAGAGGAGGCCUAAUUCCUGACUUCCUCUCUGAGUUAUGAAAUAGAACAACUCAAAGACCAUUGAUCCAAAGCCUUUCUCCAAUUUGAGUGUGUCAAAGUUCCCUAAGAGCCUCAAUAGGACUCCGGGCAGUGCUCACACCCAAAUUGUAUUACCAAAAUAGGGACAAGUGCAGUGUGAAAGUGCCAGCCCUCAAGUGUCCAAGUUCAGGGGGAGCUCAUGGGUCCAAGGCAAGGCUCAUAAGAGGGUGGCAGAACUUAAGUCUAAGAGAGAGUGCAAGUAAAGGAAUAUAGUUUAAGAACUAAGAAAGUAAUGAAAAGGGCAAGAGGUGUUGGGAAACAGUUACGGGAUUGAGGAUUUCACACAAAGGGGUUCAGGGAUUGGGAGAUUACAAAGAGCCUAUGUAAUUAGGCAUUAGUUAAUCUUGGGCAUGCACAACAAUAAGGAGUGCUUUUAUGCUUGCAAAAUCAACAAGAAUACACAACACAUAAUGGUAAUAUAAAGGUUAUGAUCACAGGGGGAUCAAGUUUGAGUCAUAGGCACCAAUACUUAAUAGUGUCAUGCCUCAAACAACCAUCAGUAUCAAACAUAUUGGGAUAGGUCUUUGGGAUACUUAAUACAUAGAUUCAGAAUAGGAAGAAAGAAAUUAUAGCGUGCUAGAAUAAAGUACUGAAUUAAACAUAAGCAUAAGGCAGACAAGAAGGCAUAAGUAUUAAGUAAACAUAUUGUUGUGAUACUGAAUCUUAAUCAGAACAUACCAGUUCAAAGAAACAAAAGUAGUAAAGAAAGGUAGCAAAAGUUGAUAUGUAGUUUUGGCUUUCAGCCAGCUAAAUAGGCCACAGUAGAAGUAGUAAAGCAAGAGAGAGAAUGUUUUGAGUGAUUUUAGAACUGAGAGUGUUCGUGUGUGUUUGUGUUAAUGACAGAGCAGGGUAUUUAUAGUUUGAAAACAGGUAGGAAAUAAGGCAAGAAUCAUAGUUCAGCAAUAAUUAUGGAACUAUGUACUAAUUAAAACUAAAUCAGUAUAAGUACUUCCUUCAAUCAAGGAGUUAAAAUUAAACUGUAACAUGCAAAUACAAAAUAAGGAAAGAAAUCACAUAAGGCUGAAUAUGACUAAUAAGGAAGUAUCUUCAGCAUAGUACAAGUACACAAUAGGUAAUAGAGACUAGGUUCAUCAGAUUCUAAUCAAGGAAAGGUUGGUAGGAAUUAAAUACCAAUGUAACCAAGGUAAGGGAAUUAAUCAAAUUGAAUAGAAAAGGUAGGAAUCGAAGGUUCACAGGAAAGUGUUCGAUAUUGGACCAAGAAACAGGGAAAUUAGUAAAACAAGGAAAGAAUCAAUUACUUAACACACGAGUGCAGUCAGAAUUACAUAAGGAGGUUUGAAAUCAGUCCACAAUUGAAGGUCAUUUCAUAGGGAAAUUCGGCAUAUAAAAGAGUGCAUAAACAUUAGGCACGCAAGGCUAAACGUAUGACAAAGAGAAGUGUUAUGCAAUCACAAAGUCAGUAAGUAGUGGACUAUCGAAACAUGGUAGUCACAUAGGUCAAUUUCAGUAACUUAGUAAUAGAGAAAAGAGAGAGUAUCAGAUAGCAUGCAAAGGGGUCAAGUGAAAAGACCUUAUAGUAGAGUUUCAAUGGUAGCAGGAAGUCAAAAAGCACAAAGAAAUAGAGGCUGAAACAAAAGAUUUCGAAAUUUAGUCGAGCAACAGAUGAAGCAACUUUAGAAACUCGAAUAGGUCCAAAGAAAUUAGGGUUAUGAAACAAGUCAAAUUCAGAGCAUGACUAGCAAGUAAAUCACAUAGCAAAUAGUUUCUAAAGUCAAAUGAACCCCAAAUUUUAGGGUUUUCACCAUUAAUCGAGUAUAGAGAUGAAAAACAAGUAAAUCAGGCAAAGAUACUAACAAAAUAAAUUCAAAAUUCUCAAAAGGCUAAGGCCCUUAACAUGCAUACUCAAGUAAAAGAACGACAUAAGGAAACACUGUAGAACAUGUUGAAAAUCAGAGAAAGCUUCAAAAAUAACUUAACAAAACCUAAAUCGGAAAAGAUAAGGGGUUUUGAAGGUAAAGUUUUGGAAAGAAACCUUGAGAAAAUGUUUAGAAGUUUAGAGUAAACACAGAUCUAGAACAGAUCUAAAAGAAUCGGCAAAACCUCAAAGGUUUGGGUUUCAGAAGAACCCCAGAUGGUGAGAAAGGCUUUGAAAUCAUCGAUCUAAGCAGGAGCGGCCAAGAGUCAAGCUUGAAUAGCCAUUGCUGGCCGAAGCAAGGUCAAAGAUGACCGGAGACAACCAUAGAACUAAAAUCAUCCGAGGUCUGGACCCAACAUCUUCAGGGUUUGGCCUUGAAAAAAUGGUACUCGAACACAUAGAAGCCAAGGGAGGUGGAUAUAGGCCUCUAAUGGCUUUGGAAGCCAUGGAUUUGGGAGAUUUACAAGUGGUGGUUGAAGGCGGCGGCUAGGGUUUGAGAGGGGAUUGAGAGAGAAUUGGGAGCGGGUUAGUUCAGGUUAAAAAUGAUUAGGU